GGGAGCGCGGCCCAGCACCCGGGGCGAGUUCGCGGCGCCGCCUCCCCGCCUCCCGCCCGGAGCUUCCCAGGCCCCAGAAUCCCGGAGGGGCGCGAUGGCAAGCGCUGGCAGAGGCCGGUGCGAUCGGGCACACAGCUCCCCCGCCCCCGCGCCCCGCGGGGACUGUCACCUUUCGUUUGGGGAAGCGAGACGGAAGCGCAAGGAAAGGCAGCAGUUCCUUGUCCACAAUGGGGUUACCUGAGUUGAGCUCUUUGCUGAGGAGACUCUCGUCUGGAUGAGGCUGCAGCAUCCUGAGUUUGGGGAGGCCCCAGGUCAGGCCCCUCAAGGUGCAUGUGCUGUCCUCUGGUGCUGUAGGUUUUGUUCAGUAGGACGGCUGGACUCUAGAAGAUGUGCCGCAGAGAAGAUAGUCAGAUGCCCAAACUGCCAAGAAGACUCGGACCAGAGCACCUGCCUAGAAGAAAUAGGAACCUGAACUGCAGGGAAGAGGUUAGACAACUGAGGCACCUGGAAGGGCGCUCUCCAACAUGCGGAAUGGCCUGUAGGCUGUGCAGACAGUGUGCUCCAUGUUCUCAGCUUUGUAAGCUGCUUCCCAUGCUUGGGUGAGCAUUUGUCUUUGAGUUAUUUCUGCUCCUGUAAGUAACCCCUCACCCAUAUCCCUCUAAGGAACUCUAAUAAAACUCUUUAGUUUUCUACAUUGGA